GAAUGCAAAAGACAAAAUUGGGGAAAAAGAGAAGAGCGCAAAAAGCAGUAACAAAAGACAACAACACUUGUUUGGAACCUGGCAAGUAGAAAGGCAAACAUACAAUGGAAACUGGGUCUAAACAAAGAGAAAAAUUCAUAUUCAAUUCAAUAACCAAAAAACAGCAAUACCGACAGGAACAUGCUUGGGUAACCUGGGAGGAAACGAGGACACAAGCAAGAACAAAAGACAACAACACUUGAUAGAACUCUGUAAACAAAGUGAAAAUAUAAUGCAAUAGCAAAAGACUCCUUGGUUAACCUGGUUAGGUAACCUGGGUAGAAACAAAGACCAAAAAAACAACAAAAAUCAAGAACAAAAGACACCAAGAGAUGCCGCUUUGUGGGCAAAAGUCAACAGAUUCUUGGAUGCAGAGUUUCCAGUGCUCCCAUCAGGCAGUGAAUGAAUGCUGCCAGCGCCCAGAGGGGUUUUGCGCCCCGAUGGGUAACAAGUGUUCUUCCCAUGACCACCGUCGGGCUCGAUUGUUUUAAUCUGCGUGGUUUUACCAUAGGCAGUAAUGUAAAGCCAAUUAUUUCUUUCCAGGCCUCAAACUGACGCCAUCUUCAAAUCUUUAUUACCGCUCCAGAUGAUGUAAUCAUAAGCACGGCGCGUGCAUCCAUCCGUGUUCCACGUUGCCCUCACUAGGAAUGAGCUGAAGUAUAUCCCAGCUGACUUUUGGCAAGAGGCGGGGUAUACCCUGAAGUGGUCGCCAGCCAAUCAGAGGGCACAUGGAGAAAAACAACUACUCACAUUCACGCAAACCUCGAUGCAGCUCUGCUUACCUUUGGGCUUUGGUUUGACAUCAGCAGGGACGUCGCACCCAUGUUUCAGACAGUCCGGCUUUGAAGGUGGAUCUGCAUCUGAUGAUUGCGUGGGCGGAGAAAACAGAGUGUGUGGGGCGGCAGUUAUUAUGCAAAUGAAUCCUACUGUUACAUCACAGUGGGGUCAAAGUGCAGAACAUUUUCAGAAAUUGGCAGAGAACAAAAGAUUUCCUCGGGUGUUUGAAUUCACACUUGCUCAGCUACGUUUUGCAUACAAGCCAUUAAAAAAAUCCGUUUUCCAUAAUAAAGAGCAUGGUUAUAUUUUAACUGGAAGGCUUGGAAACAGGUGAACCUAAACAUGUGACCAGUGAGUGUUUGUUAUUAUCGAUAGACGCAACACUAAACAUCGGCAAAGACGUGCAGUUAAAUGGGAAAGCCCUCCCGAGUCCCUCCGACUCCAUUACAUUUAAACUAAUCCAAUUGGAGCGCUUAAUGGCCUCAUGACCGGGCGCUGUGCUUGGUAAGACAGACGCACAUCAUUUUUACUUUAUGGACUCUUUGCACUAAACACAACGGCUGGAUUUACACUCCAGGGCUUAAGGGCGCAAUUACUUUUUAACCCUUGUGGUCUGUUUUUUGUUUUGUAUUUUUACUUUGGGCUGUAUUACAGUUUGUUGCAUGACAUUUUGCUGGAAAUGUUAUCCUUCGUAUCAAGAGGAGCCAGAUGAGGUGGCUCGGGCAUCCGGUUAGGGCGCCUCCCUGGUGAUGUGUCCCGGGCACGUCCCACAACUGAGGACACACUGGAAAGAAUGUCGCCCGGCUGACCUGGGAACGCCUUUGGAUCUCCUCCAGAAGACCUGAACGAAGUGGCUGGGGAAAGGGAAGUUUGGGCUUCCCUGCUGAACCUGCCGCCCCCGCGACCCAACCCCGCAUAAACGGAAGAAAACUGACAUUUUUGCGAGCUGCAGAGCCCCAAAGUGGAACUCCACUGAGGAGCAAUUUGCUUGAAAUGAAUUCAGGAUUUGACAUCGGAGGUCAUUUUGCCAGGUGGGACUACAAAGAGAGAUCGGCUCUGCUGUGUUUAAAUGGGGAUUAAAGCCAGUUAAAAGUGCACUGCAGGACUUCCUCCAGACACGUCAUUAUAAAAGCAAAGGCAUCCACACUUUCUCUAACUUUCAGGUCUCUCUGACAAGGAAAAUGCAGCUAUUAUAUAAGAUCACGCUUUCCGUCAAUCACCUUUUCUUUUUUCUUUUUUUUUAGAGCCGCUGAAGAAAAUGGACCAAUCCGUGGAUUAGACAGUAGUAACAGUUAACAUCUUACUUCAUAGUCACUGUUGUUUACAUACAAAAGCAAAGCUAACCAAAAUAAUUAGUGUGAGCAUUUUCCGCAUGGUUUGUGUUUUAAAGGUGGUCUUAUAUCAUGUGGAGGCUGCUGUAUUAAUGCUGUGUGCAUGUUUAUUCUGGAAGCUGUUCCUAUUUUUUUGUUUUGUUUUUCCCCAGGCCUCAUCCCCGUCUUAAAGGGCCAGUACGGUUAAAACCAGUAAAAGUGUCAGGAAGGAUGCAAGCCCCGGCUGCCACCAGGGAGGUCUUACCUCUGACUCCAUCUUAUCAGCCCCCGCUGCCCUUGAAAGCAAAGACCCUGCCUCCCACAAUGAACAGGGUCACCGGGCUGGGGGGCAUCCGAGUGGAAACAGGCGGGCAGCGGCUAUCUCCCACAACGUGAGAGGCACACACACUUCCAUAUGUUAAAAUCUAUUGACAGUAUUUUGAACAAAGAGA